rnacentral:rRNA from 2 species
ACGGGUGAGUAACACGUGGGAACGUACCUCUUGGUUCGGAACAACACAGGGAAACUUGUGCUAAUACCGGAUAAGCCCUUACGGGGAAAGAUUUAUCGCCGAGAGAUCGGCCCGCGUCUGAUUAGCUAGUUGGUAGGGUAACGGCCUACCAAGGCGACGAUCAGUAGCUGGUCUGAGAGGAUGAUCAGCCACAUUGGGACUGAGACACGGCCCAAACUCCUACGGGAGGCAGCAGUGGGGAAUAUUGGACAAUGGGGGCAACCCUGAUCCAGCCAUGCCGCGUGAGUGAUGAAGGCCCUAGGGUUGUAAAGCUCUUUUGUGCGGGAAGAUAAUGACGGUACCGCAAGAAUAAGCCCCGGCUAACUUCGUGCCAGCAGCCGCGGUAAUACGAAGGGGGCUAGCGUUGCUCGGAAUCACUGGGCGUAAAGGGUGCGUAGGCGGGUUUUUAAGUCAGAGGUGAAAUCCUGGAGCUCAACUCCAGAACUGCCUUUGAUACUGGGAAUCUUGAGUAUGGAAGAGGUGAGUGGAACUGCGAGUGUAGAGGUGAAAUUCGUAGA